rnacentral:rRNA from 1 species
UACGUAGGGUGCAAGCGUUGUCCGGAAUUAUUGGGCGUAAAGAGCUCGUAGGCGGUCUGUCGCGUCUGCUGUGAAAACUCAGGGCUUAACCCUGAGCUUGCAGUGGGUACGGGCAGACUAGAGUGCGGGUAGGGGAGACGUGGAAUUCCCGGUGUAGUGGUGAAUGCGUAGAUAUCGGGAGGAACACCAGUGGCGAAGGCGGCAUCCUGGCCAUGUCCUGACGCUCAGGGGCGAAAGCGUGGGGAGCAAACCGGGA